rnacentral:rRNA from 1 species
CCUACGGGUGGCAACAGUGGGGAAUAUUGCACAAUGGGGGAAACCCUGAUGCAGCGACGCCGCGUGAGUGAAGAAGUAUUUCGGUAUGUAACGCUCUAUCAGCAGGGAAGAAAUAGCGACCUUUGGGUCGUCCGACGGUACCUGAUUAAGAAGCCCCGGCUAACUACGUGCCAGCAGCGCCGGUAUUACGUAGGGGACAAGCGUUAUCCGGAUUUUCUGGGUGUAAAGGGAGCGUAGACGGAAGCGCAUGUCUGAAGUGCAAUGCCGGGGCUUAACCCCGGAACUGGUUUGGAAACUGUGCAGCUAGAGCGCAGGAGAGGCAGGUGGAAUUCCUAGUGUAGCGGUGAAAUGCGUAGAUAUUAGGAGGAACACCAGUGGCGAAGGCGGCUUACUGGACUGUAACUGACGUUGAGGCUCGAAAGCGUGGGGAGCAAACAGGAUUAGAUACCCCAGUAGUC